CCUACGGGCGGCAGCAGUGAGGAAUAUUGGUCAAUGGACGGAAGUCUGACCCAGCAAUGCCGCGUGCAGGAAGACGGCUCUAUGAGUUGUAAACUGCUUUUGUACAAGGGUAAACCUGAAUACGUGUAGACAGCGGAAAGUACAGUACGAAGAAGGAUCGGCUACCUCCGUGCCAGCAGCCGCGGUAAUACGGAGGAUCCAAGCGUUAUCCGGAUUUAUUGGGUUUAAAGGGUGCGUAGGCGGAUUGAUAAGUUAGAGGUGAAAUGUCCGAGCUUAACUCGGGAACUGCCUCUAAUACUGUUGAUCUAGAGUGUAGUUGCGGUAGGCGGAAUGUAUGGUGUAGCGGUGAAAUGCUUCGAUAUCAUACAGAACACCGAUUGCGUAUGCAGCUUACCAAUCUAUAUCUGACGUUGAGGCACGAAAGCGUGGGUAGCAAACAGGAUUAGAUACCCUGGUAGUC
rnacentral:rRNA from 1 species